rnacentral:piRNA from 1 species
CAUUUCUUUCCUGUGCCUUCCA